GCCUGGGUGGCUCAGUCGGUUGAGCGUCCGACUUCAGCUCAGGUCAUGAUCUCAUAGCCCGUGAGUUCGAGCCCCACGUCGGGCU
rfam:Felis catus isolate Cinnamon breed Abyssinian chromosome A3, whole genome shotgun sequence.